AGAUUGAACGCUGGCGGCAGGCCUAACACAUGCAAGUCGAGCGGCAGCACGGGUACUUGUACCUGGUGGCGAGCGGCGGACGGGUGAGUAAUGCCUAGGAAUCUGCCUGAUAGUGGGGGAUAACGUUCGGAAACGGACGCUAAUACCGCAUACGUCCUACGGGAGAAAGUGGGGGAUCUUCGGACCUCACGCUAUCAGAUGAGCCUAGGUCGGAUUAGCUAGUUGGUAGGUAAGGCCUACCAAGGCUACGAU
rnacentral:rRNA from 1 species